GAUGAACGCUGGCGGCGUGCUUAACACAUGCAAGUCGAACGAUGAAGCCCAGCUUGCUGGGUGGAUUAGUGGCGAACGGGUGAGUAACACGUGAGUAACCUGCCCUUGACUCUGGGAUAAGCCUGGGAAACUGGGGCUAAUACCGGAUAGGAACGUCCACCGCCUGGGGGGUGUUGGGAAGAUUUAUCGGUCAUGGAUGGACUCGCGGCCUAUCAGCUUGUUGGUGAGGUAAUGGCUCACCAAGGCGACGACGGGUAGCCGGCCUGAGAGGGUGACCGGCCACACUGGGACUGAGACACGGCCCAGACUCCUACGGGAGGCAGCAGUGGGGAAUAUUGCACAAUGGGCGAAAGCCUGAUGCAGCGACGCCGCGUGAGGGAUGACGGCCUUCGGGUUGUAAACCUCUUUCAGUAGGGAAGAAGCGAAAGUGACGGUACCUGCAGAAGAAGCACCGGCUAACUACGUG
rnacentral:rRNA from 1 species